rnacentral:rRNA from 1 species
AUGCACGACCAUGCGAUACUGAAAGCACCACAUCCCGUCCGACCUGCGCAGUCAACCAGUGUGCGGCUCUCUUAGUACCACGGUAGGGCACACAGGGAAAGCCUGGGUGCUGUGAUUU